rnacentral:lncRNA from 1 species
UGUGGGUUUGUAACUCCAUCUCCAGUGGUGUAGAGACACAAUUUUUAAAAACUAUACCUUCAACAAACUGUAAAGAGGAUUUGCAUGAGGGCCUGUAGUCUGACCAUCCAGUUCAACCAGUCAAACCAUGAUAUCAGCAUGAUACAAUACAUGACAAAUUGAUUUUUAUGCUUUUUGGUUGUUGUGAUCCUCAUGGAUGAUAUUAAUUUUGGGAUCAAGACAUGAUUUAAAGGCUAUGCAUAUCUCUGGUUGCUGUAGAUUACAGUAAGGCAAAAUAUUUGUGGCCAUGCUCUGUUUCUUCUGCUGUUUGUCUUAAAGUACAUUGUCAAGCUGGUAGAAAAUGUUACUAACUUGAUGCCCAACAAACCCCAUAGAAAUGCAUCUCAUAAUCCAGUUAGUCUAUACUUGACUAAAAUCAACUUCUUCUGUAUCUUUAUAUUAAAGUCCAUCAUAAACUGUCACAUGCUUUUUUCAUAUAUUUCCUAAAUAUAUGCCUGCUAUGUUCAGACUUUGAAGUAGCAGAAUUUAUUUAUUUAUUAAGAAUAUGCCUCAAUCAAUUGGCUAUUACUUUUAUUUGAAAUAUAGCAAAAAAUUAUCGAUUUGUAAUGUUGGGUUAUUCUUUCAUUUUUCCAUCUUAGACUGCUGAAGUAUUGAUAUUACAUUGCAGGGCUUGCUGUGAAGCCUGGUGUAGUUCAAAAAAUUCAAUAUUGUAUUGUUGUAUGUAUAAUUUUUGUCAGUCAUAUUUGUGCUGUCUACUAUUGUUUCACACCAUGUAUCUAAAUUUCAACUUUAAAUAUCCAGCAAACAACAACAAAGAUGAUGAUGAAGUUCGGAAUACUUCCCAAUAUACCCAUUGGUAAAGACAUCAUUCCACCAUCUCUGUCAUCCACUGUUCAAGGUAUCAUUCCGCCAUCUUUGUCAUCCACUGGACAAGGUAUCCUUUCACCAUCUCUGCAAAGUGGCAUGAGCAUGACCAAUGAGCCCUCCAGCCAAAACACGACGGGAAGUGUCCUGCAGUUGGCAACAAAACUAGUAGAACAAACCUCUUAUGGCCUGGCUGGGGAUGCAACUUCGAACACAGGUUCUACUUCUGGAGCUUCUACAUCAAAAAGUUCACAGGGAACAUCCUUGGUUAGUCAAACCGGGAAGGUUGUCACUAAUAUUCUGCACGAUCUGACUUCAACAGAGGGGGGCAAUGAAGUAAAUGAACUGGUAUGUAACAGAGUAGGAUAUUGGAUCAUCUUUCAGUUUGAAUCUUGUUUAUUUGGAAUUUUUUGCCGUUAUACUUUUUUAAGUGAGAUUUUUAGUGUUUUACUUCAUAUCUUGCUAUAGAUAUGGAAUUAUUCUAUGGGUUGGUUUAAAUUUGUGAUAGCCAGAUUAAUAGAUAUCUAUAUUUUUUAAACAAAAAUAAAUUUAUUAAAGAAUAUAUGAUUCAUUUUUGCCAUUUAAUGUUUUUCAUGGAUCUGAUUUUACUCUAUUCAGAUUGAAUGUAUUGUUCCUGUAUUCAGAAUUUCUCAUUUACAUAUUAGCCAGUGCUUUGGAUGUACUCAAAGUGAGCUGCAUAUUUCAUGAACAACCUAAAAUAACACUGGACCCACAUCACCUUGCAAAAUUUCUCUUCUUUUUAUUUUUUAUUUUUUUAUUGCUUCGUGUUUUGGUCCUUAAUAUCAGUGACAUCAUAAAGCAAUGCCAUAAACAUAAUGCUUGAUGUUUUUGUUUUUAAGAUAUUAUCUUGUGCUGAUGUAGGAUCAAGUUCUAAUCCUUGGAUUUUAUGUUUUUAGGCUGAGCGCUUGAGAUCAGAAAACAACAUGCUUCACGUGGUAAUGUCUUUUAUACCAAUAUUCAUGUGUGUUUUCAUGAGAUGAAAUAUUGAAAAGAAAACUAUAUUUAUAAACCUCAAUAAUUUUAGAGCAGUGUUCAUGAGUCAAAGGAGAGCCCUGACUGAUGGAAUUUUCUUUGUAGACUAUCAAAUCCCACUGCAGUGUUAUCUUAUCACCCAAGGAAGGUGUUAAGAGUCUCACCAGGAAAUUGUUAGAUGUGUUUUUUAGUUCGUCCACCAUAUGUUGAAUUUAAUGUGUUGAAAUGGUCCAACUAAUUGCAAUUUUCUGUGCAUUUUCAGAUUUUGAAUCACGAGCAAAUCAUUCAGGAGCUUAAGGAGGAAAACGAGAAGCUUCGCCAGGUGCUGGUGGAAGAUCUGAACAUACCACCCUGCAAGCUCCAAACCAGUAACUCAAGUAGAUAUACAUCACCAUCUGAAGAUUGUUCCAGUUACUCAAAUAGACAGAGAUCACCAUGUGAAGAUUGUUUUGAUUGCCGCAGAAAAGAAAGAAAAAGAUAGAAGAAAAUUUGUGUGCUACUUCAGAAGAGACUCAGAAUUCAAGCAAUUGACUACAAAGAACUUAACUGAUCCUUGUCUGGUCCGGGGUUUGAAGAUUUGGUUUGGUAUUACCAACCCAGCAGUGCAGAAUCAUCCCCAGGAGUGUGCAAGGAAAAUAGGGUAGUAGGAAUUCAAUACCUGAAAGACAAGACCAAACACUUGGGUAUGAACCAAUUGAAGGGUGAUUGAUGUAGGUGCAUAAGGUAAUAAUACAACUUGCCCUUUUUUUUAGAUUUCUUUGUUUCCUUGUUUUAUGUAAACUAAAUAUUUUUUGCUUCACCCCAUCAUUAAAACAAAGUGCAUGUACUUUCAGCUUCCUGCAACUGUUAUUUGUUCCAAUUGUUGCUGAUGCCCAUCAGCUCCUGCCUUCUGCAGGCCAUAUUUUGGAUCUGUUUAGUGUUUCCCACAUUCCACAGUUACUGGAAUGGGCUUCUGGAGAUUCUUGACUGGUUUGCUUGUUCAAAGCAGGAAAUCUCUGCCAUCCAAGUCAAUUCCUUUUACAAUGUUAUGGUACUUUCACCCCCUACUACAACAUUAAAUCAAGAUGCCCACAAAGAGAGACAGCCCCUAAUAAUUGAGCAUACUUAUCCAUUUCUACAUGUUAGGGGUAGGCCCAAUUCUUUUGGUAUUCUUGGCCCAUGUAAUUUGUCAUUAUGCAACUCAUCUUCCUCAGUAAUGGUUAAAUCAGUCUAGUCAGGUGAUUAAUGGAGACACCAAGAGGCCCGCAUAUUUCUUAUCAGAGUAAAUUGUAAGUGUGCCCUCAAGAGACAUCCGGGCAGUUUUUGUUAUCAAGAGAGACUAGGAGAUGUGCUUUCUCUACUGGUGGUUGAGAGGAACUCAAACUAGAAAUAGCAUGAUUGAUUUGAAACUUGAAACAAAGGGUGGAGAAGAAGAAAGUGGUGAGGGAGUGGGCAAAGUAGGGAGUUGCAGAGAGGCUUUUUCAAAGACUGCUUUGGUAUCAUGUUUCUCGUUAAAAAGGGUUUGAUUUUUUCUGAUUGCCACUUUUGAAUUGGGGGAAUCCAAUGCUUUUCCCACAAAGGACACUCUUUAGUUUUUUUGGGGGAGUGGGAAUCCAAUGUCUUUUCCACCCAAAUCAACACCUUCUCCAAAAUUCAUGCACUUAAUUCUCCAUCUCAAACUCAUUAUUCAGUCAAAUGUUACUUUGUGAACCUCAAACAUCAAAGCACAACAAUUAUUAGCAUUUAGAGUGAAUUUCCACCUUUUUGUUAAUAUUCUCCCAAAAUUGUAAGAACCCGUCUGUGGUUUUUGAAAAAAUAUCCACCUUUGUAUUAAUUCUGAUGGAGGAGAAUUAGAAGAACAAAUAAAAAACAAAAAAAAUAUACUUAGUGGUUCUUUAAUCAUGGUAUGCUAGUCCUAGUUUAUUGAAUAUCUUGAGAGAAAGGAAAAGGAGAAUGUGAUGUUUGCUAGUAUGCAUAUAUUUUAUUGCAAGGCNNNNNNNNNNNNNNNNNNNNNNNNNNNNNNNNNNNNNNNNNNNNNNNNNNNNNNNNNNNNNNNNNNNNNNNNNNNNNNNNNNNNNNNNNNNNNNNNNNNNAGAGUAAAUUGUAAGUGUGCCCUCAAGAGACAUCCGGGCAGUUUUUGUUAUCAAGAGAGACUAGGAGAUGUGCUUUCUCUACUGGUGGUUGAGAGGAACUCAAACUAGAAAUAGCAUGAUUGAUUUGAAACUUGAAACAAAGGGUGGAGAAGAAGAAAGUGGUGAGGGAGUGGGCAAAGUAGGGAGUUGCAGAGAGGCUUUUUCAAAGACUGCUUUGGUAUCAUGUUUCUCGUUAAAAAGGGUUUGAUUUUUUCUGAUUGCCACUUUUGAAUUGGGGGAAUCCAAUGCUUUUCCCACAAAGGACAGCCUUUAGUUUUUUCGGGGGAGUGGGAAUCCAAUGUCUUUUCCACCCAAAUCAACACCUUCUCCAAAAUUCAUGCACUUAAUUCUCCAUCUCAAACUCAUUAUUCAGUCAAAUGUUACUUUGUGAACCUCAAACAUCAAAGCACAACAAUUAUUAGCAUUUAGAGUGAAUUUCCACCUUUUUGUUAAUAUUCUCCCAAAAUUGUAAGAACCCGUCUGUGGUUUUUGAAAAAAUAUCCACCUUUGUAUUAAUUCUGAUGGAGGAGAAUUAGAAGAACAAAUAAAAAACAAAAAAAAAAUACUUAGUGGUUCUUUAAUCAUGGUAUGCUAGUCCUAGUUUAUUGAAUAUCUUGAGAGAAAGGAAAAGGAGAAUGUGAUGUUUGCUAGUGUGCAUAUAUUUUAUUGCAAGGCAAAAGGCAGAAUCUCAAAGUUAAAAGAAAGGCAAAGGUGAAAAGAAGGAAUGGGAAAUUGGAGAAUAAUGAAAAGAAUUGUGUGGGGAGACAAACACACCAUGUGCACAUCCCUAUCAUCCUCAUGUAGCUUUGUCUCAACUCAGCCCCACCACCACAACCCACCAACCAUCCUCUCCUUUUAAGCCUCUUCCUCCCUUCCACGCACCUCCAAAAGGACACCUAUUCCCCCAUUUCCAAAAGCUAUCUCACCACUCACCAGUGAUCCCCACCCCCCCUUUCCUCCUCAUAAUUCUACCUCCUCCAGCUGUCACCUAACCUUUUCUUCUCUCUUCCAUUCUCCCCUCCCAUCUACCCCCCUCCCCCCUCCCCUCCAAUCACCCAACUACCCUUUGUAAUCAUUUUUCUUUUUCUUCUGAGUUUGGAAAGAAUUUACAUUUAUCAGCAUUUUAAAUCUGAUUGGCAUGAGCUGAGACUUUUUGAAUCUGAUACAAUGCUGUUACAGCUCUCCUUAUCAUUAUUGUUAUUACAAUUUUGAGUUGAUUAUGAGUGGGAGUUGAGUCAAGUCAAAGCCCCACUACUUCUGAAAUAUAUGGUAAUGUGAACAAAAUAAACGAGUUGGGACACAAACAAGAAUCACGAGGUCGUUCUUAUUCAUCUAAAGUCAAAAUGCUACACAAUGUAACAUCCGAAUAAAAUCUACCAACCAUCCUCACAAAUCACAAAUGGGGUUCCAAAAAUCACAAGAAAACAAAAGAUAAAAAGAAAAAAAAGAAAAGAAUACGCAAAUAAUUAUCUUAAUCUACAUGGAAGUUGGAACUAAGUAAAGUUUGAAAAUCAAUGACCAUGUGUCUAAACAAGCAGCGCUGCAACUCCCCCCAACAAUGCCACCAACCCCAUGCUGCUCCCAUGCACAAACCCACCACUGGGCGGCGGCGUGGGUGAAGGAGGAGGUGAUGAACCAGGCCCGCCGGCUGGAGGAGGAGAUGUUGCAGGCGGCGAAGCUGUAGACGGGCCGGGUGAUCCCUCCGACGGAGGAGGCGCAGGUGGUGAGAUAGCAGUUGGUGAGCUAGCCGGGCUUGGGCUCAUUGAAGGAGUGGCCGCUGGUGGAGGUGACGAUACCGGCGAGGUAGUCGGGGAUGGCGAAAUUGAGGUAGUCGGGGAUGGCGAAAUUGAGGUAGUCGGGGAUGGCGAAAUUGAGGUCGGUGGGGUUGCUGGCGUGGCCACGCUUGGUGGUGGGGUUGCCAUAGUUGUUGGGGGAGUGGCGGUGGGGGGCGUUGCGGUGGAGGGGGGAGACGCUGGAGAGGUGGAGGGGGACUGAGCGAGGGAGGAUGCGGCGAAGGUCAGGGAGAGGGCGAGGACGAGCAUGGCACGUACCACAGCCAUGACUCGAGAGCUGACCGAUGAGGUUGGAGCCUUGGAGCCUGGAAGGGUUUUUGAGAGUGUGCGCCUCUUACGGUUGAUGACUUGAUAUAUAGAGGCAUGGACCCCCUAGAACUUGAGAUUUUUCUCACUAUUCUCACACCCAGUUGCAUCAACCCUUCAUCCAACUUCAUCACAUCAACCAACAUACCAAUCUUUUAAAGAUAUUUUCAUUUUACCCUUGUGAAUUACCAUUUUAAUUCCAAGAAGUUACCCUCAU